rnacentral:sRNA from 1 species
UUUUUUCUGCGUUAGCGAUUGCAGUGGAAAUCCUUUUGUUUUUUUACAAAAGAUUGAAACAGAAAGCGCGACCCUUG